rnacentral:rRNA from 1 species
GACGAACGCUGGCGGCGUGCUUAACACAUGCAAGUCGAACGGAAAGGCCCUGCUUUUGUGGGGUGCUCGAGUGGCGAACGGGUGAGUAACACGUGAGUAACCUGCCCUUGACUUUGGGAUAACUUCAGGAAACUGGGGCUAAUACCGGAUAGGAGCUCCUGCUGCAUGGUGGGGGUUGGAAAGUUUCGGCGGUUGGGGAUGGACUCGCGGCUUAUCAGCUUGUUGGUGGGGUAGUGGCUUACCAAGGCUUUGACGGGUAGCCGGCCUGAGAGGGUGACCGGCCACAUUGGGACUGAGAUACGGCCCAGACUCCUACGGGAGGCAGAAGUGGGGAAUAUUGCACAAUGGGCGGAAGCCUGAUGCAGCAACGCCGCGUGCGGGAUGACAGCCUUCGGGUUGUAAACCGCUUUCGCCUGUGACGAAGCGUGAGUGACGGUAAUGGGUAAAGAAGCACCGGCUAACUACGUG